rnacentral:rRNA from 1 species
UGCGUAGGCGGCUCGAUAAGUAUGGUGUGAAAUCUCCCGGCUUAACUGGGAGGGUGCGCUAUAGACUGCCGGGCUAGAGUGUGGGAGAGGAAAGUGGAAUUCCUGGUGUAGCGGUGAAAUGCGUAGAUAUCAGGAGGAACACCGGUGGUGUAAACGGCUUUCUGGACCAUAACUGACGCUGAGGCACGAAAGCGUGGGUAGCAAACAGGAUUAGAUACCCUGGUAGUCCACGCCCUAAACGAUGCAUAUUUGGUGUGGGUCAUUCAGUUGAUCCGUGCCGGAGCUAACGCGUUAAAUAUGCCGCCUGGGGAGUACAGUCGCAAGGCUGAA